UGUAAAUCAAGUCUGCAUCAUCUUCUAUACAUUGGAAUCGCAUGUGGUAAUUAUUCAUAGGUGAUGGUUAUUUUUCCCAAGUGUUCGGUAGCAAUCUCCCUCACAAAAGCUAAUAUUAGACCGGCUUCUUCCAUCAUUUCACCAAAUCCAAUCAAUUGAACAUGUUUAACGCUUGUCAAACACCAUCCCACAUUAUAUUUUGGGGAUUCCAAUUUCUUGCCCUUUCGAACAUCUUCCCUAUCUACCAAUUCGAGAUCCAAUCUCUGUAAAUUAGGAAGGUGUGCGAGCAAGUAUGGCAUGAACAACCAACCAGAAGAAUUUGCCAAAAAAAGUGACUAAAAAUUAAACUGCAUCUUCAUAAGCUACAGCUUGAUAGAGGACAAGAAAGUGUACCUUGCUGUUGGAAGCCUCUAUGAAGUUGAAAUUGAUGCCCCACAACUAGAUGUUCUUGAAAUAGAAGAAUCGGUUUUUGUGAAGUUUAAGAUUGGAAACUUCAAGCAUCUCCGAGAAGCAAGGUUUCAAAGUGGCUUCUACGAAGCAAAGAGGCAACUAGGAGAAGUGGGAGAACUUCUCGUUCUUUUGCGAGAAAUAUUUUCUACGAUUAACACAACAUCAAUAGAAACUAAAUCAUACCUUGAAAGCACCAUCUCCGACAACCAAGCAGCUAGUAGAUAUUGACGUUGUGUUAAUCGUAGAAAAUAUUUCUCGCAGAAGAAUGAUUAGUUCGCCCACUUCUCCUAGUUGCCUCUUUGCUUCGUAGAAGCCACUUUGAAGCCUUGCUUCUCGGAGAUGCUUGAAGUUUCCAAUCUUAAACUUCGCAAAAAUCGAUUCUUCAAUUUCAAGAACAUCUAUUGUGGGGCAUCGAUUUCAACUUCAUAGAGGCUUCCAGCAGCAAGGUACACUUCUUGUCCUCUAUCAAGCUGUAGCUUAUGAAGAUGCAGUUUAAUUUUUAGUCACUUUUUUUAGCAGAUUUUUCUGGUUGGUUGUUCAUGCCAUACUUGCUCGCACACCUUCCUAAUUUACAGAGAUUGGAUCUCGAAUUGGUAGAUAGGGAAGAUGUUCGAAAGGGCAAGAAAUUGGAAUCCCCCAAAAUAUAAUGUGGGAUGGUGUUUGACAAGCGUUAAACGUGUUCGAUUGAUUGGAUUUGGUGAAAUGAUGGAAGAAGAUUGAUUGGAUUUGGUGAAAUGAUGGAAGAAGCCGGUCUAAUAUUAGCUUUUGUGAGGGAGACUGCUACCGAAGAACACUUUGGAAAAAUAACCAUUACCACAUGCAAUUCCAAUGUAUAGAAGAUGAUGCAGACUUGAUUUACACGGCCUAAGAAAGUACACAAGAGAACUGAUCAUGAGGAAACACAAAUCUAUAUUGACUGUACCAGUAUUUUAGACAAAUGGCACGGUUGACAACUCUCACAUCAUUGAGGUGGUAC
rnacentral:lncRNA from 1 species